GAGCCACCAGGGAAAUAAUUAAUGAGUUAAAAGCACUAAAUAUAUGUUUAACUUAUGUUUGUGUGAAAGUUAUGCUUUUACCUAUUAAAAAAAUUUUCCUUUAACACAAGUGUUUGUUACUUUUAUAAUUCAGGUAAAGCCUAGAAACAUUAUGAAAGUAUGCCAGAGACUCCCCAGAGAUCUAACUCAGAUCUUCAGGGAGGUCUCCCUUCCAGUUGGGCAAUGUUGAUUCCCCGAUGAGCACGAAGCCAAACUUCACACAUCAGCCAAGCAUGGACACCCCAAGAACCCACCCCAGCCUUUCCCAGGGACUCUGUGCCUCAGAGCACGUGGCACUUAUUUAUCAGGUGUGAAUCUUGGUGCUGAGUAUUGAAGUGACCAGCAUUAUUUCAGCAAAUUGUUCCACAGUAGCUCUCUAUAGUAUAGAUACUAUUACCACCAAGUCCCAGUCAAUCCUAAAGGAAAUCAGCUCAUUUCCUUGUAUUCACUGGAAGGACUGAUGUUGAUACUUUGGCCACCUGACGUGAAGAGCUGACUCAUUGGAAAAGACCCUGAUGCUGGGAUAGAUUGAGAGCCCGAGGAGAAGGGGUGACAGAGGAUGAGAUAAUUGGAUGGCAUCUUGAUUCAAUAGACAUGAGUUUGAGCAAACUCUGGGAGACAGUGAAGAACAGGAAAGCCUGGCGUGCUGCAGUCCAUGGGAUCUCAAAGAGCCAGACACAACUGAGCAAUUGAACAACAACAGUUAAAGAAACAGACCGAGGACGUUUCCAGUUUACCUAAGACCAGAGGUCGAUCAACAGCCACGAAGAGCAAGCCCAGGCCUCCCUAUGCCUGAGCGCCGGCUCUUAUCUACAUUGCUGCUGCUGCUGCUGCUGCUGCUAAGUCGCUUCAGUCGUGUCCGACCCUGUGCGACCCCAUAGACGGCAGCCCACCAGGCUCCCCCGUUCCUGGGAUUCUCCAGACAAGACCACUGGAGUGGGCUGCCAUUUCCUUUUCCAAUGCAUGAAAGUGAAAAGUGAAAGGGAAAUCGCUCGGUCGUGCCCGACUCUUAGUGUGGGGUGCCAUCGCCUUCUCUGCUUAUCUACAUUACUAUCUC
rnacentral:lncRNA from 1 species